UUUUACCAAUUCCAAACCCAAAUACCGUAAUUUUAAAAUUUUACUCCUAAUUACCAUAUCAAAUACCGAAUACCAAAUUCUUCGAUUUUUCAGUAAUUCGAUUUUUGAUAUUUUAUACCCUGCCCUAAAUACACCUACAAAUCAGCUACAAUCCGAGGACGCACUAGCAAUACAGCUACAAAUCAGCUACAAUCCAAGGACGCACCAGCAAUACAACUACAAAUCAGCUAGUAGCAGCAACAGCAACACGCAGGAAGCCAAAUAUCUUCAUGGAGGCAGCAGCAAUACAGCUAUAAAUCAGCAGCAGCUACAAGACGGAGCAAAAAAGUGGAGGUAGCAACUACUCAGAGAAAAAAAAAACUGAAAAGAGGGGUAAAUUUAUCAUUUAACAAAUUAAUGCAUGUGUUAGAGAUUUCGUAUUACUAAUACAUGGGAACUGGUGUGUAUUAUUAAUACACCCUUCAAUAUACAAUAGUGUGUAUAACUAAUGCUUGUAUUAGUUAUACAUAGACUAAAAAUUGUAUCAAACAAGGCACUUAUAAUACACAUUAACUAAUACAUGCACUAUUUUUUUCAAUACACUCUACCAAACGAUUAACAUAUCAGUUGUUUUUCUCUCCACCCAUCCAACACCCCCAGUUCUUACUCCU
rnacentral:lncRNA from 1 species